AGCUGAGGAUUGUGGGAUACUGAAGGGAGAAUCUCUCCUUCCCCCCAACUGCUGCUAGCAGGAGAUGGACCAGCCUGAGAACACUGACGAGCGCCCCGAAGAGGAGCCUCAGCCGCAGGGGGAGCCAACGGGCUCGCCCCCAGCUCCGCGGGCCCUAGAGGCGAAGGCGGAGGCGAGCAAUGCGAAUACAGUUGAGGCAAAGAAAGUGGAUAAUGCUAAUGAAGGACCCA